GUGGCGAACGGGUGCGUAACACGUGGAUAACCUUCCUUCAGGUGGGGAAUAGCCCAGUGAAAAUUGGGCUAAUACCGCAUAACAUGCCGGGGGCACAUGCUUCUGGAUUCAAAGGCGCAAGUCGCCAGAAGAGGGAUCCGCGGCCGAUUAGCUUGUUGGCGGGGUAACGGCCCACCAAGGCAAAGAUCGGUAGCUGGACUGAGAGGUUGGCCAGCCACACUGGAACUGAGACACGGUCCAGACUCCUACGGGAGGCAGCAGUGGGGAAUCUUGCACAAUGGGCGAAAGCCUGAUGCAGCAACGCCGCGUGGGGGAUGAAGCUUUUCGGAGUGUAAACCCCUUUCGACCCGGAAGAAAGCCCGCAAGGGUUUGACGGUACGGGUAUAAGAAGCCCCGGCUAACUACGUGCCAGCAGCCGCGGUAAUACGUAGGGGGCCAGCGUUGCUCGGAAUUACUGGGCGUAAAGGGUCCGUAGGCGGUGUAGCAAGUCGAGAGUGAAAUCCCUGNGCUUAACUCAGGGGCUGCUAACGAAACUGCUAUGCUAAAGUGUGAGAGAGGCGAGUGGAAUUACGGGUGUAGCGGUGAAAUGCG
rnacentral:rRNA from 1 species